UUUUUUUAAUAAUGUAAAAGAAUAAAGUGUUGGAGUAGUAGUAGAUAUGAUCUUGAAACUCAAAGAAUUUGGCGGUAUUUUAGUCUUUUCAGAGGAACCUGUCCCGUGAUUGAUAAUACACGAUUUUUGAUACUUAUUUUUGUUAUCMGUUUAUAUACCGUCGUCAGGAAGAUUAUCUUGUGGAGAGUAUAAAAUUUCUAGUUAUGUAAUUGUAUAUGAUGUCAGAUCAAGGUGUAGCUAAUGGGUAAGUGGUGAUGGGUUACAAUAAAUUUAUUUAUAUGAAUAAUAGUUAUAAUAAUUAUUUGAAGGKGGAUUUGAUUGUAAAUUGAUUGGGAUUAAUUUAUUGAUURUGGCUCUAGAAUGUGCACAUAUCGCCCSUCGCUCUCGU
rnacentral:rRNA from 1 species